AAAUGUCGUAACAAGGGUUUUCCGUAGGUGAACCUGCGGAAUGGAUCAUUUAUCAAAGUAAAUGCUGGUAGGAAUGUGGGGUCUUGAUCUGUAAGUGGUAGAGCGAACAGUCCGGCUGCCUCCCGAAAUGUCUUACAUGUCCUCCACAGCCUAAGGCCGAAUUAAAACCCUUGAUUAUCUACACUUGUUGCUUUGGGGUGCUCAAGUGCCCCAGAGGACGCAACUCUCUUGCAUUUAAGUGACGUCUGAGUACUAUAUAAUAUUUAAAA
rnacentral:misc_RNA from 1 species